rnacentral:rRNA from 1 species
CCUACGGGAGGCAGCAGUGAGGAAUAUUGGUCAAUGGCCGCAAGCCUGAACCAGCCAAGUAGCGUGAAGGACGACUGUGCCAAGCAUUGUAAACUUCUUUUGUCAAGGGAUAAAGUCAGGCUCGAGAGCCUGACCGUGGGUACUUGAUGAAAAAGCAUCGGCUAACUCCGUGCCAGCAGCCGCGGUAAUACGGAGGAUGCGAGCGUUAUCCGGAUUUAUUGGGUUUAAAGGGUGCGUAGGGGGGCUGUUAAGUCAGUGGUAAAAGGCGGGGGCUAAACCUCGGUGAGCAGUUGAUACUGGCUGUCUUGAGAUGUCGUGAGGUAUGCGGAAUGCGCGGUGUAGCGGUGAAAUGCUUAGAUAUUGCGCAGAACUCCGAUUGCGAAGGCAGCAUACCAGCGGGGAUCUGACGCUGAGGCACGAAAGCGUGGGUAUCGAACAGGAUUAGAUACCCUUGUAGUC